rnacentral:lncRNA from 1 species
GGGUGAUUACAGCCAUGUAAGGAAGGGCUCAUUUUUGCUGAGUACUGACUCCACAUCAUUGAGAAUAGGGAUCAAGUCUUCUGACUCCAAAGUCCCAAGAUCAACGUUUGUUCCUGGAAGACAGUCGAGGAAAUCAGGGAAACGCGUUUGUUGUGCAUUUAUGUUCACUGUUGUUUGUGCUACAGUUUCUCCUGUAUCCAUCUCAUCUACGUUGCUGAGGAAAUCUUCAGGUGUCGUUGGUAUACUGUAGCAUCCUAAUCCCAAGCCACUGUCUGUACUCUGUUCCCUGGAAUGGUAUGGCCCACUGUUCAAGAAAGGAUCGGAUCCAUUGUUUGUAAUAGAUCUCAUAUCUUGGGUCAUGGCAGCUGUGCUCACGGCUGUCUGAACUGCGGUCAUGUUUUCAGAAUCCAUGGGAAGCUGCCUGCACAAUGCAGCCUCCUGUCGCAGUAACUCCUCCUGGCGCAUCCUUAUUCGUUCCCUCUCCAUUUGGAUACGCUGGAGUCUUAACUUCUGCUGCUGCUGCUGCUGUGCAGUCAGUGCACUGGGCAUGUUCAGCAAGCCUGGCUGUGGAGUCUGAGAAGGACAGCUUUGCUGUGAGAUGGAUGUGUUGCCUGUUAUUUGGUGCUGGUGAUUCAUAACGAGAUUUGGCUGAGACAUUGCCAUAGACCUCUGUGGUACUGGCGUGGAAGUAGCUGCGGGAUGGUGGCUCAUGUGAUUCAGUGGUUGGUUCAUAGUUUUUCGAGGAUCUUGCCAUGUUGUAAUUUUCUCUAUGUGAUUGAGGAAGUAACGCUGUCCCGUGUGCGUGAGCGCCAUCUCCCAGCCGGGCGGCAGCGGCAGUUCGUCCGUCACGUCGUAGGAGCGCUGCCGGAGGUGCCCGUGCUGAGGCGCGGCGGCCGAGCCCACGAGCGAGGCAGGAGAGGAGUGCGAGCGGACGUGCUGCGCGGCGACGGGCCGCGGCGGGGGGCCGCCCGAGUCCGUGCUGGACUGCCGCGAGUGCGAGCCCGAGUCGGGCUCCUUGAAGAAGGACUCGGGCAGGAUUUUCUUCCGCCAGGAGCUAGGCCGGGGGUUCAUGACCGCGUUGAAGAGUGCCUCGAGCUCCGUGUCCAGGUCCUGCGUGAUGUGGAUCACCUGCUGCCCCGGCGGUGGGGCCGCGGGCGAGGGGUUCAUUUUCCCCCCUUCAGCCUCGACGGCGGGGCGGGCGGGCGGGCGGGCGAUGGCCGGCACCAGCCCCGCUGUGUGGAGGACGCACCCCGCGGAGCGCUGGGCGGUCCCAGAGGCGCGUCGCUGUGCUGGAGCGGGCGGCAGCGGCACGACACUACCAGCAGCGACCUCGUCCCGGCGGAGGGGCGGGCAGGUCAGCCCACGGGCAGCGCGGCGCCCUCCCCCGGGCCGAACCGCCCCAGGCCGCGCUGGGGCGAGGACUGUACCGCCCCCCCGCGACGGCCCGGCCCCUGCCCCGCCCGCGGUUAUGCAACGGCCGCGAAAAGUUUGGAUCCUCUGAACCGCUGUGGGACGGCGUGGUUUUAGUCUGGCUCUCGGGUGCGGUACUGGUGAGGGCUGCGCUCGCCGGGAACCCCUCGUAGCCGCCCGGGCCCUGUCAGCGCGAUCCACCCGCCUCUCGCUUCCGUCCCGCACGAAGUUUGCGGAGGCCCUCAGGAGGGUGGUGCUGCGGGCGCCGGGCGGGGCGUGACGGCUGAGCGCGGCGCCCGGCGGUCGCGCGCCUGGCCCGGGCUCGCACCCACGUCCGGAGACCGCGGGGUUCUGCUGUGUGCUCGCCCAGCGGAGCGGAGCGGAGCGGAGCCCGGUGCUCGAGGAACUUGGUGCGCUUCUUGUGACACGCGGAGACGACUUCUGGCGACCACGUCAGCUUUGUUUUUAAGCUGUUGUUCAGGAAACUCAUGUAUUCUGGAAUACAUGUAACUCAUGUAUUCCAGAAUACAUGGCAGUAUUCUGGAAGCAGAAUGACGCUUAAAAGAGCAUAGUAGCUUCAGAGUGUAAUUUAGUGAUGCUUUGGCAAUAGGGCCAUGUAACGGGGGGGGGGGAAGACGUGAUUGAGGACGUGUCGUACAGCUGCCUUGUGAAUACCUGAGAAAAGAUUCAUCCCUGUGCUGGCAGGUAUGGAUUUAAUCAAGAGCCGUAUUGCAAAUCUCCCCAGCUCACCCUCUGGUGAUACUGCAGAUACAGCUGUGAGGCUGCUUCCAUUCCAGCUGCCUCUUUGCAGCCCAUAGUGUAUAUACCAGAAGCCAAAGCUGUGAUCAGAAUGCACUCCUGAGGCUUUCUGCAAUGUAAAUGUCAUUCAUACAUUUUUUUUGGUGAAUUUUGCCAUCUAUUGUCAUUUUAUUCUCAUAACAAUUAAAAUAAAAUUAAAAAAGCCUUUUUUGUGUGGAAUAACUUUUGAAUAAUAACGAGAAAAAAAUUGCUUCAACUCAAUAACUGCAUCCAUAAGGAAUAAUGACAGUAAUGUUUCAAAAUCGGUGUUGCUUUUUGUAAUAGGAAGCAUACAGUUCCUGUAUGACUACACACACAAAGAUAUCCCAUGUUGGCUAUACUAACAUAGAACUUUAUUUUAGUAAUGUUUGGUUUUUUUUUGUUUGUUUUUUUUUUUUUUCCAUUUUAUUUCUGCAGCUUGGACAGUCUCUAAGCUAUUCUGAUUUGUAAGAACAUCUCCCCCUCCUCAGUAGUCAGAGAGAAAGCUUUCAGGUAUGUAAUUUUUUUUUUUUUCCUGAAUUAAUCUCUUGUUUCUUAAGAGGCAUUCACUGUUCUGAACUUCACAUGGCUUCUCCAGCCAAGAACUUGCGCACUGCUCCUGAACAAUCUUUGUCCCUUGAUCAGUGUCACACUGAAUAUGGGAAAUGCAGAUUCUGAGAUUCAUGGUUGAAGCCUGUACAUGAAAUCUGAGCUAUGAUCAGCUCCUAGGAGCACGUAUUGCUCUUCAUUUCCUGAUUUCCUUGCUCCAAUAAAUCUCCUCUCUCACGUAUUUAUUUUUCCUUAGCCUUCCUGUUCACAUCUCAUUGGCAAGCAGAUCUUCUUGUAUUUUUUUGCCACAUGUGCUGUAUUUCUGGUCAGGAAAUCCAGUACUCCCAAGAUUUGUUCAUACUUCCCUUCUCUGACAAUUUUCCCUGCUAUCUUUUGUACCAUUCUUUUGGUGCUUCCUUACUGAUGACUUGCUGGUGUUUUUACUAGCUCAGGCAGCAGUGCUAAUUGCAACACCUGCUCCAGAGUUACACAGAUAUUCCAUAUGAUUUUUCCCCUGUAAUUUCCUUGUUUAAAACCUUUGGAUAUUAGAUGUUUGUCUAUGUAUGUGUGCAGUCUAUUGUGCAGAUAAUGAUCUGAACAUAAGUGCUUUUUCAUACAGCCUUUACAAGGGUUUUUCCACUUCCUCUAGGCCUCUGUAUCCUUUAGUAGAGACACACCCAUCUAUCUGCCCAUUACAUUCCUCUCCUGAUGAUAUGCCUAUUCAAGACAAGGCUCUGACAACCUCCUUCAUGGUGUCAUCUCAUCUACGUUAAUUAGACCACUUCCAGAAGACAGGAUUGCAUCUCAUGAGUAAGUGUAUACCCAUCUGUUUUAAGCUUAAGCAGUACUUAUUACCACUAGAACUUUCUCCUUUAGCAAGGUAGUAUUUACUGGUGUUUCAGCUCUAUUUUUUACUGAACAGUGAGAUUAGCUGCUAUUGUAUGACUUGGUGUGGGCUAAAGCAUUUUCAUCCACUAGUCUGAAAGUGAUUAAAAAUGUAAGCACAAAUUCCCUUAGCACUGUUGUUAUUAUUCUUAUUUUAGAAACAAGUAACUUCCUUCUUUUGGCAAAAGAUAGGAUGUGACCACUGGCACUUAAAGGAAGUGAUUCAAUACAGUCAGGUCCUCGGGAGACAAUGGCAUUUUGCUGGGUGUGGGAUUAAGUGAUAAAGGAACAAAAAUGAUGUAAAAAGCUUUCUUAUCAUUACUUCUUUCUUCUAAUUACAGUGUCAUGCACUGUUAAAAAAUAAGAGCAUAACAUUAUCUCAAUUACACGUGCUGUUCACUGUUUUUGAAUUGUACAGACAUUUUCUUACACAACUGGAGGAUUUAUAACAGUAUAGUACUUUUGCUAUAACCUAGUUGUAGUACAUCUUCUAGUGGCAAAUUCUAUCUUACUCAAGUGCAAAGCCAAGCAAACAGAUCAGAAGAAAUAGGUGCGCUUCCAAAUGUAUGAUUAGAUAAUGAGCACCUAUUGGUUUAAAGAAUAAAUGCCGUUAUCAUUUUUAAUCAAGAUUCCUUUUUUUUUCUAACCAAGAAAGCUAGCACUGAUGAAUAUGCACAUAUGAUGUCUAUUAGAAAGAUUUCAGGAUUCCCUUGAAAAAUCUCAUGGUUCCUGUGUAACUGAGUAACAAUCACACACUGCUAACCAGGGAAAGUGUUCACACUUCUGCCUUCUGCUUUGGUAUGUGCUGCACAGAGACUUUCAGUGGUCAUUGACUACUUCAACUUGCUCACAUAUAAUUUAGCAAAGCACAGCCAUAUGCAAAAUGAAAGUUUUUAUUUCUCCAAAAUAAAUGAUAGAGAACAAGGAAUAAAAUGUAGUAGUAAACACAGUACAUAAUGUUUCACUAUACAAAGGUACAUGUGUUUUAAUGCACCUAUUUAGACUUUGAAAACAUUGUGCAGUUUGUCAUGCUAAUUAAUAGCUUAUAUUUGCUUUUGUGAGAAUUGCUUAUUGUUUAAUACCCAUAUUUUUAUGUAGUAUGCUCCUGGUAGUAGUUCUAAAUUAGUCUCAUUUUCAAGGGACUUCUUGCAGCAAAGGUAGGCUUAUGUAAAUGUAUUUUGUUUUUUAACGAAGGGAUUAGUGCUUAAGAUUCUAUUUUCAUUCGCAUGCACUUCACAGCUACUUAUUUCUAAUGUAGCUAACAGCUUUUAGACUUUGGCUGGCACCUCAGAACCUAUGCAAAGCAUAUCCUGUGCAGCCAACUUUGAUGUAGUUUAUUUAAUGCACACCUGCUAUGUAUAUUACCAAGUUUCACCAGAACAGCUAUGUCAGCGUGUCUCCCCAGCCAACAUCUCCAGGCUAGUAAAACCUCAAAUGUAGACACAAUCUGCUAGCUAGAAAAGAACUUAUGUCAGCUCAGUUCAUGUCAUUUUGUAAAUUGGUGUUAUGUCAGUGGCAAGAAGGCUAUGUGAGCAUCUGCAGAUGACAGCACAGACACUCAUUUCAGAAACAGCUGCACUAACCAAAAAACUGCAUCGAUAUUUGUGUCUCAGAGGUUGCCCUCCUUACAGCAAAGCCAGGGGAAUGGGACACACAAACACUGCUCAUUCACACCAGUACAGAGUCAGUUGAACACUCGAACAGUUUGCAGCAGUGAUCUGGAAAAAGCAGCUAAAGCCCUAUCAGAUGUUACCACACUGGAGAUGGGGCUGCGUGUUUCAGCUCCAUUGCUCCGUUCCCAAGAAGAUAGUGGAAGAAAGUACACAGGCAUACCAUCAUCAGUUUGUCUCAGGUGGCUUAAAAUGGUGAUGAAAUUGAGCUUUGCUAAUACAGCUCACUUUGUGCUUAAAUAGGAAAAAAAAAAGUCACUUUUGUGGGAAUUGUGGUAAUUCACAUUUAUCUUGGAAAAAAAAAAAAAAUCAGCAGCAGUGUUGAAAACAAUUGUACUGCAAUAUACCAGACUCUGACCACAAAGCAAACACAGAGUGACAGCAGACUUCCUUCCCCUUAUUUAGAUAACUAAGAAAGAACAUGGUUUUACUCAUGGAGUUUCACCAGGCUAUUCCUCAUCAUGGACUUCCUUUCCUAUGCACUAUCCAUUGUUACAUUACAAAGUCACAAUACAGGAAAUAGGUGUUCUUAUAUAAACUAGAACCAAAAGAGAAUCAUAUUCAUACCUUUGAAUUUAUACGUAUACACGUUUCAUCAAUAGCAAUACAUUUAGGUCUAAUACAUUUGAAUAUUACAUUCAAAAGAUAAUUUUUAAGGUGAAAUCCUAAGAGUUCAAAGGAUUUUGUUAGAAGAAUCGUAGGCCUAAUCCAAAAUUCAGAUACUGAUAUAUAUAUGUGUGUAAAUCUGAACUAACUUCAUACCUGUUUCAAUGAAAACAGUUUUCCCCAUAGAAUACAAGAAACAUCAAAUUAAUCAGAAAGCCAGAUGAAGGGUGAAAUAAUAUUCAGUUCAGUACAUUAAAAGCUUGCUGGAAUGUGUGACAGGGACAAGCAGAAGUACGAGAAGAUAAAACUUGUAAGGGAGUCUAAAUGUGCCUUAGAGAGGGGGAAUCAAUUAAAACUCGGGUCAGUAUAUUUUAUGAAAUGGACUGCUAUCAUACACAGCUCAUUCAAAAGGAUGUAAACAACAGGAGGAAGAAAAGCACCGCUUUGUGAGUUUACUCAGUACUUAAAAGAAUAUAAACAUUUACAACACCGAACAAACCAUACCAUCCUGAGUUUAAGAGAAUUUAGUGCUCUUUGCUAAAUGUUUUAACAAAUUGAUUAGCAAGUUCAAAGGAAACAAGAUGCCAACAAGUGUUUUACAUUGCUCUGAAAUAUUGAAAGUUUUAUUGUUUUAGUUUAAAAUUGAUCGUGAAUUUGGAAAAUGUAAAGUGAAAUACAGUUCAAGCAGAGCCGUGAGACCAUGAACGAUUCUUAAUGAAAGAUAAACACUGAAAAUGUUUGUACUGUGAACCUCCUCUAUAGCGAAUCAAAAACAAUUAAACUUUCUGCCCUCUGCUGUUUAAACCAGGUAUUUCUGCACUUCUACAGACAGACAAGUAGAGAUAGAAAAAAACAUUCCUGCAAAGCAUCGUUUUCCCCCCAUACAAAUCUGCAUGGGAGCACAUAGCUGAGGGCUGAGUCUAACUUUUCUUUUCAGGAAACUAUCUUAUGCUUCCAAUACUUGAACUUUUAGUUCUUUUAUGCACUUAGAAGUCUCCACCAACAUGAUAUUCACCUGAAUUUAGUGAUCAAAAAAAACUGGCUUUGUAUUCCUCCUGAAAAUACAGUCCAAUUACAUCACAACAAACAAAACCCAACGCAUCAGAAAUCCCAAGUUAUAACUUUUGAUCAUAUUUAAUUACCACACGCGGUAUGAGAAGAAAAAAAAUCAACAUAUGCAGAUAGCAAUUUAAACACUUUGCUGAUUCACCUAUGGGGAAGGAAAUCACAUUGUAGACAUGCUACGUAAAACAAUUAGACACUUAGAGAAUAAGCAAGUCCAAAUUUGAGAAAAUUGACUUUUUUUUGUUAAGUGGUAGUUACUUAUUGAUUUAAGCACUUUUGCCAUGCAAGUACUACUUUUCUUAAGUUAUAAACAGAGAGAAAAUAUGUGUACUCAAUUAGUACAGAAAUGUCCGUUGUCACUACAGAAGUCACUGCCAGAAUCUGAACGUGAAGGUUCUCGUCUACUUACUCUCUCCAAUAGAACUUCAGGGACUUAUGUACUCUUGCUAGUGACAGUGAAACACUAAUUAGUGACAACGGUAAGUAGUUUUACAACAGCUAUGAAGUACUGCAUAUAAAUACAACAGAACAGUCUUUUUGCAUAACCUUCGGAGGACAACUUUCUUAAAUAAAGACGGGCUUUAUUUACUCCGCAGUACUUAGCUUGUCUUUCCUUUGUAAGAACAAUAUCAAAAUAGGGGGAAAAGAAGCCCAACCCAAGCUGUAUCACAACACAAAGCUCUGAUUUACUGGAAGUUAACUAUUUUCUUAACUGGCCUACUAGCCAAUAGUUUUCAACUUUUCAGAUCACCCUUACCUAUAGAAAUAAUCAGCACACUAACUUGUGCUUAGGCCAUAAGACCUUUUAUAGGAACUGCUACCUGUAGAAAUGCCUGCCUAGUAGGGCUUACAGAUAGCUUUGUUAAAAUUGAGGUCUUCUGUUAUAUAGGAUGACUUGACAUGAGUUCUUUUUAUGUGCAGAUCUCACCACAAAGCUGGGAACUAAGUUUUCAUAACAUGCUACACUGCUGCUUCGUGAAAACAUUUCCAAUACAAUUAAUAGCAAGCAGGUGUUGGGAGAAGCGAACAGUGGAAGCUGUGUAACACCUAGCCUCUGAGUUGGCUGGAUCCCUUGGACAGGAAGGCAGUAGUCCCACAGGUACACUUGUACUUCUACACAUACAGGAGUCUAGAUGGAAGAAACAUUCCUGUUAAGUAUUAUUCACACAAGUCUAGGUAGUGAAUAGGUAUUUUUAUUUCAAAACAGAGGCAAAAACAGAAAAAUCUGCUUAAUAAAUGUAAAAACACGUGCACAAUCUCCUAUAAUAUUGAGACAGCUUUACUUAUGUAGAAUGUAGAAAAGCUCUUAAAGUAGAACCAUACUAAUUUAGAGCUAGAGGAAGUCUCAGUAUAGCAUACUGAUUUUCUACAUAUGUAAGUAAAGUAAAAGCAAUUACCCAUCUUGCAUCAGGCAGGUGUGUAAAGUUAGCACCAGAAAACAUUCAGCCUAUAAUUACUCAAGAUCCUGGCCCAGGAAAGCAUUACAUCUGAUCCAGAUGUUUAUUUUUCUUGAUAUGUGUUAGUGAACACUGAGUGCCUACUAUGACAACAGUUUUGAAUGAAUUCUAUUUCAUGUUUCGUGCUAUUCUCCUACAAUGGUUAGUCUUCAUUUCCCCCAAGGCUUGUUCCAAUUGCUGAAUUAGGUGGAGGAGGGUAGAAGGGUCAGUUUGUAACACUUGGGUAGUUAGAUCUUCAUUGUCAUUAAGAUGUAGCUUCAUAGUCACCGCAGGCUUAAUUUGUUGCCUCAGACUUCUGCUUGCAAGCUGCACAUCUAGUCUCCAUUCAAGGCUGUGAUAGCUGGGAAGCUUUGGUGCCAGCUCACCAAGAAUGCUUCUGAUCUCCUUCCUGUUAUCAAGGUAAAGCUGAAGCAAUAAUUUGUUCAAUUCAUCUGAGAAUCCCAAAACAUGAAUGGAAUCUUGGAAGUCCAUCUCAGAAAUCAUGAGCUUGGAGCUUUCUGUAAGAAGGUACAUCAGUCCCUCCACUCCGUGCUGCACGGUGUCAACGCCAGCGUUUAGUUUUCUGGCAACCGCCUCACAGGCCUUAGGCGCCGCGCCGCGCCGCAGCAGCUCCACCGCCAGGUACCCCAGCUCUCCGAUAGCUGCGCCGCCCACCCGGGGCAGGCAGCCCAGGUGCGCCUUCUGCUCCUCCGACAGCACCAACAGCAUCACCGCUCCCGAGG